AGGACUGAGUGAAAAUAAAGCUAACCAUAUGAAUUGUGAAAAUGCCCUGUUUUGAACAAACACCGUCUGACACAGGGACUCUGACCAUGUUUUUAACAAAC